GAUGAACGCUGGCGGCGUGCCUAAUACAUGCCAGUCGAGCGAACGGACGAGAAGCUUGCUUCUCUGAUGUUAGCGGCGGACGGGUGAGUAACACGUGGAUAACCUACCUAUAAGACUGGGAUAACUUCGGGAAACCGGAGCUAAUACCGGAUAAUAUUUUGAACCGCAUGGUUCAAAAGUGAAAGACGGUCUUGCUGUCACUUAUAGAUGGAUCCGCGCUGCAUUAGCUAGUUGGUAAGGUAACGGCUUACCAAGGCAACGAUGCAUAGCCGACCUGAGAGGGUGAUCGGCCACACUGGAACUGAGACACGGUCCAGACUCCUACGGGAGGCAGCAGUAGGGAAUCUUCCGCAAUGGGCGAAAGCCUGACGGAGCAACGCCGCGUGAGUGAUGAAGGUCUUCGGAUCGGAAAACUCUGUUAUUAGGGAAGAACAUAUGUGUAAGUAACUGUGCACAUCUUGACGGUACCUAAUCAGAAAGCCACGGCUAACUACGUG
rnacentral:rRNA from 1 species